rnacentral:lncRNA from 1 species
UUUUAAUGUCAAAAACGUAAACUAGAGAUUAAAAAUUCAUAUAACAAAGUUCAUCGUUUUCCUAGCACGAACAAGUCUACCCGAACAUAAUGGUGGAAUUAAAUAAAUACAAGUGGAACGAAAUCACCAAAAAUUGACGGAACGCGAUCAACAUCCAAAUUCCUUCCAAAGGCAAUCCGAAAUUAUUCCUUCAACAGCUUGCUGUCCGUCUCCGUUUUCGCGUCUUUGCCGUGUGUAAAUAAUAUGAAUAUGUAAUCUGCAGCCGCCAAUUCUAUUAUCCAAUUGAAAAUUCCAAUUCCGGCAGUCGAUUUGUCCUUAAUUUCCUCACAGCUUGGUUUCGGUUCCUUAUGUAUAUUUAUUUCCACCUUGCAGCCGCCUUUUGUAGUCUCAAUUAAUUCUCAGCUGCUGCCUUUUGUUUGUGUAUGUAUGCUUCAAUUCCUUCCCAGCAGCUGGCCGAUUUGUGGGAAUUAUGUACGUAUAUAAGUCAACUUUUCAGCCCACUCAGAUUUUAUCAAUUCCGUACUCAGUUUUCGGCCUCCAACUUGCCGUUUUUCUGCCUGUAUAUAAUAUAUUCAACUCAGCCCCGGCUUCACCAAUCUGAUUUCAGCUUUCUGUACGUAUAUAUACAAUUAAUUCCCAGCCUUGAGCCGCCGAUGUGCGUAUAUGAAUAAUCCCCAGAAGGGGUUCCAAUUAUCUCCCCCACGGCUGCUCUUUCUAUCUGUACGUGUGUAUCAUAUAUAUACCAAACAAUUAAGCCCUUUUGUAGUCUUGU